UACGUAGGGGGCGAGCGUUGUCCGGAAUUACUGGGCGUAAAGCGUGCGCAGGCGGUUCGCUAAGACAGAUGUGAAAUCCCCGGGCUUAACCUGGGAACUGCAUUUGUGACUGCAGGGCUAGAGUACGGUAGAGGGGGAUGGAAUUCCGCGUGUAGCAGUGAAAUGCGUAGAUAUGCGGAGGAACACCGAUGGCGAAGGCAAUCCCCUGGACCUGUACUGACGCUGAGGCGCGAAAGCGUGGGGAGCAAACAGG
rnacentral:rRNA from 1 species